rnacentral:rRNA from 1 species
GAUUGAACGCUGGCGGCAUGCCUUACACAUGCAAGUCGAACGGCAGCACGGACUUCGGUCUGGUGGCGAGUGGCGAACGGGUGAGUAAUAUAUCGGAACAUACCCAGUAGUGGGGGAUAACUAUCCGAAAGGAUAGCUAAUACCGCAUACGAUCUGUGGAUGAAAGCAGGGGAUCUUCGGACCUUGUGCUAUUGGAAUGGCCGAUAUCUGAUUAGCUAGUUGGUAGGGUAAAAGCCUACCAAGGCGACGAUCAGUAGCUGGUCUGAGAGGACGACCAGCCACACUGGAACUGAGACACGGUCCAGACUCCUACGGGAGGCAGCAGUGGGGAAUUUUGGACAAUGGGGGCAACCCUGAUCCAGCAAUGCCGCGUGAGUGAAGAAGGCCCUCGGGUUGUAAAGCUCUUUUGUCAGGGAAGAAACGGAGUUCUCUAAUAUAGGAUUCUAAUGACGGUACCUGAAGAAUAAGCACCGGCUAACUACGUGCCAGCAGCCGCGGUAAUACGUAGGGUGCAAGCGUUAAUCGGAAUUACUGGGCGUAAAGCGUGCGCAGGCGGUUUUGUAAGUCUGAUGUGAAAUCCCCGGGCUCAACCUGGGAACUGCAUUGGAGACUGCAAGGCUAGAGUGUGUCAGAGGGGGGUAGAAUUUCCACGUGUAGCAGUGAAAUGCGUAGAGAUGUGGAGGAAUACCGAUGGCGAAGGCAGCCCCCUGGGAUAACACUGACGCUCAUGCACGAAAGCGUGGGGAGCAAACAGGAUUAGAUACCCUGGUAGUCCACGCCCUAAACGAUGUCUACUAGUUGUCGGGACUUAAUUGUCUUGGUAACGCAGCUAACGCGUGAAGUAGACCGCCUGGGGAGUACGGUCGCAAGAUUAAAACUCAAAGGAAUUGACGGGGACCCGCACAAGCGGUGGAUGAUGUGGAUUAAUUCGAUGCAACGCGAAAAACCUUACCUACCCUUGACAUGGCAGGAAUCCCGAAGAGAUUUGGGAGUGCUCGCAAGAGAACCUGCACACAGGUGCUGCAUGGCUGUCGUCAGCUCGUGUCGUGAGAUGUUGGGUUAAGUCCCGCAACGAGCGCAACCCUUGCCAUUAGUUGCUACGAAAGGGCACUCUAAUGAGACUGCCGGUGACAAACCGGAGGAAGGUGGGGAUGACGUCAAGUCCUCAUGGCCCUUAUGGGUAGGGCUUCACACGUCAUACAAUGGUACAUACAGAGGGCCGCCAACCCGCGAGGGGGAGCUAAUCCCAGAAAGUGUAUCGUAGUCCGGAUUGUAGUCUGCAACUCGACUACAUGAAGUUGGAAUCGCUAGUAAUCGCGGAUCAGCAUGUCGCGGUGAAUACGUUCCCGGGUCUUGUACUCACCGCCCGUCA